UCCCUGGUAGCUCAGUGGUAAAGAAUCUGCCUGCAAUGCAGGAGACCUGGGUUCAAUCACUGGCUUGGGAA
rnacentral:tRNA from 1 species